CUACACAUCGUGCAACAAGCACAUCUACUGACUCUUAAUCAGUGGGUUCUGGGUUCGAGUCCCAGGGGGUGCACCG
rnacentral:tRNA from 1 species